GGCCGCGUGGCCCAAUGGCAAGGCGCUUGACUACGAUUCCAUUAGGAAUCAAGAGAUUCCAGGUUCGGCCCCUGGCGUGGUCA